UUGCCGGUUUUUCAUCUACACAGAAUUAUCCCCGGUCAUCCAGCCUUGGAGUGUUGAGAGUCACAGGGGGGCUCAGGUCUCCCCUCUUUUCCUAGUGAAGGGACUUGAAAACUCUGCUCAUCCACACCGGGAAGAACAUGUCUGUCUACUCACUAGGUCCAAACAUCAUGUGCCUCCAGUGAAGAGUCGCCUCAGCCCUUCUGCACUGUGUCGACAUAUUGAUGCCUAAAGUGUGAAAAAUAAGAAGACUCUUCACUAUCAGUGAGCCUAAAAUAACAAAUGAAAAGCACCAAGAGACCAGGCUUUUCAGGCAAUGAGAGAGCACUGAGGACAACUGCCCAGAAUGCAAGAUUGAGAUGCGGAAUGGGUAAAGUUUGUUUUCUCUGGCUGCUUUACAAUUCCCUCUGGCUGGAUGCCCGCCCUCCACACUGC